GUUAAAAUAACAAUGAUUUCGAAAAAGAGAGAGCAUCUAAUAUUGUUCAUAUAUCAUGCAGGCAAGACAAAGCAAAAUCAUGGAAUGAAUUGCCUCAGUUAAUGCAGCAGCACUGAGCUGGCUUUGGUUGCAUUCUUCAAGAUAGCACGGAGACUUGGAUCAAGGGGUGUUCGGAUGCUAUUCCGGUGGACACCAUAAUGCCGUGUGAGUUUCUGGAUAUUUUGAGUGGGAUGUGUUUAGCUUGAAACUGCGAUUUCAAUGAAAUCAUUUGUGAAGUGGACUGCCUUGAUGCUUAUUGUGCUAUUAUUCAUGAUGCUCCUGGUAAUAGUGCAGAUUUCAUUGAAA